UAAGGUCACCAGCACCAGGGGAGCAAACAAAUGCCUGUCUGAUUUCAUACGAAGAGACACUUCAUGUUGCAGCUGCUGAGCAGUGCCUUCAGCUGACCUACCCAUUGAAGUCUGCUGUCUUGGCUCUCAGGUAAAGUCCAUGAAUUAUCUAGUAGAGGUGAUGCAUUUGCUGAAUCCACACUCCCC
rnacentral:lncRNA from 1 species